UACGUAGGGUGCAAGCGUUGUCCGGAAUUAUUGGGCGUAAAGAGCUCGUAGGCGGUUUGUUGCGUCGGCUGUGAAAUCCCGAGGCUCAACCUCGAGACGUCGGCGGAAACCAUCUGGCUAGAGUCCGGAAGAGGAGAGUGGAAUUCCUGGUGUAGCGGUGAAAUGCGCAGAUAUCAGGAAGAACACCCGUGGCGAAGGCGGCUCUCUGGGACGGUACUGGCGCUGAGACGCGAAAGCGUGGGGAGCGAACAGG
rnacentral:rRNA from 1 species